CCCUACGGGGGGCAGCAGUGAGGAAUAUUGGUCAAUGGGAGAGAUCCUGAACCAGCCAAGCCGCGUUAUGGAAGACGGCCCUAUGGGUUGUAAACCUCUUUUGUCGGAGAACAAAACCCGGGACGUGUUCCGGACUGCGUGUAUCCGAAGAAAAAGCAUCGGCUAACUACGGGCCAGCAGCCGCGGUAAUACGUUGGUGGCGAGCGUUAUCCGGAAUGAUUGGGCGUAAAGGUUGCGUAGGCGGCCUGCUAAGUCUGGAGUGAAAGGUACCGGCUCAACCGGUACAGGCUCUG
rnacentral:rRNA from 1 species